GGAGGGCAAAGAAGUCUCUUUAGAAAGCAGCAAAAUAUGCAUGGCUAAACCCUAAAGGGUCUUUGUUAGAGAGCGAUGGGAAUAAUCCUCUUCAGAAAGAAUGACAACUCCAUGAAGCCUCAUGACUGCAUACCUUAGAGGUGUGCCUAUAUACUCUACCCACUUUACAAAUGGGAGCGGUCACAUGACUCACCCACGGCCUCACAGUGCAUUGGUGGCAGAGACAGAAUUAGAAACCAAGAGUUCCUUCCCGACAGCUCCAUGCUCAGGUCACAGUGCUUGGAAUUACAAUUUGCCAAUAUGUAAUUCUGCUGCUUUCCCCCCAUUUCAGUGUUAGUCAUUAGGACCAGGAACCAAUGAAGAUCUAGACACUGCGCUUCCUAACCAUGCCAGCAACGGAGUGUGCAAGCCUCAGUGUGGACUAAGAGAAAAACAAGAGACUUUUGGAGUCCCUUCUUUUCUCACAUGAAAACCAAACUCCUUUUCCUUUGCAGAGCACUGGCAAAUCCUACAGCAGAAGCUCUGCAGACAACAGGCUGAGCCCCUCACUUGGAGGAAGUGUGCAAGCCUUUCUUCUGGAGCAUCUAUUCCUGGCUAGCUUGCAGAGGAAAAGUGAACAUAGAUCUUCCCCAGGCCUGAAGCUCAAAGGUCCAUUUAUGUAACUGGCCUGGGUGAUCACACCAGUCCUGUCAAAGGCCCCAAAUGACAACACAUCAGGGCACUGCAGCUAACCCAGGUUUCUCCUCCCACAUAGGCUUUGGGAUGCAGCAAGACUGCAGAAGCAGGAAGGAGGCUGCAGGCUGUUUUAGCGACCCAGGAUCAGAUGCCAACCAGGGACCAUGCUGUGGAUUACACUGGGAGGAGGGACCUAAUAGUAUUCCCACAAACAUCUCUCUCAGUAUCAAACUGCCAGGAAAUAGUAUGGGCCAAGACCAAGCACCUUUGGAUCUGCAGCCCAUCAUGGAAAAUCACCACCAUCUUUCAACCAGAAAGAGAGCCAAGUGUGCUACCCUCAUGGAAACCAGACUCAGGAGACCAGGGGGGCUAAAGGAGAUGUGGUCCUCAGCCUGUCAUGCAGGGCAGACUGGCAUAAUUUUGUUCUUGGUUAACACAUCUAUGCCUCACUGUAAGUGCAGAUGUUUCAGCUAGAUUCUCGCAAAGCUCAGACAUUGGGACAAGAAAAAAUAAACUGGAGAAGUUCUUGAAUCAUUCUGCUUCCAAGGGAGCCAAAUUAAAAAUCCCUCCCUCCCCACCAUGGGCUCUACACUCUGCCCUGGAAUCUCAGCAGCAGGAGGACUGCUCUCUAGAAGCCCUAUUCAGAACACUAGUUCCAGUGCUAUGAUUCCAGGCACUGCAUUCCACUCUGUAUUUUUUAGGUACAAACACGUGAUAGCCACAGAGCUUUUAACUAGCAAAGCAUGGAUAAAACCAGACAGGAAGUAGGAGGGGGCCUAUGCUUAACCUUAGAGACAUAUGAAUUGCUGGAAGACCAGAGCGCAAAGCAAAGGAGAGUUUCUUCCUUGGGAUGUUUCAAGACAGCAGCUGAUGAGGCCUCACACUCCUGCCCUGGGAGUGAAGUGAUCUGGGAUCUUAGUUUUUUAGAUUUUUCUUGUUCAUCUCCAAGAAAAGCACCCUGUCCAAUCUUGUGCAGGUAAGAUACCAAAUGUCAAGGUUAGGUCUGAGGUCACAGUAGAUUUUUAGUGGGACACCAGGUAGUGUCAGGAUAGAGAAGACAAUGGACAGAUCUGAAUCUGUGAAAAGAGAAAGACGAGAAGACAACAUGAGACAUGAGCUCAUCAGUUUGGGGACACCUCAGCCAAAACUCUUGGAAUGUUCACGCAUCCCAAAACUGCAGGGAAAUUGGCCAUAACCCAACUGGAGUGUGGAGGCAAUAUAAGAAAUGCUGACCCAGCUUGUGUGCUUGAGUUUUCUGCAGUCUGUAGGUGUAGACAGGGCAAGCAGAAUUUGUUUUGGAAGGAGGUACUCACCGGGUUGGAUCUUGCUGCAAGCCAAACACUCCUGCCACACUCACAACAUUGUGUUUGUUCUCAGGGCCCCCAUAACUCAGAGUGACCUGAAAAAGCAAACGUAAAGUUAGAACCUACAACAUAGCAGAGAGUGACUGAGUGGAAGAGGUCUUAAUGAGGGAUGAGGAGGAUCUAAAGGGAAAGAGACAUCCUAUGUGAUCUGAGUGUCAGAAGUUACACAUAAAAGGUGAUAGUUCGCUUUGUCAUAAUGGUUAACUUAGGAUAGAAGCCUUUUGAGAGAACCUGCUGACCAUCCAAAGCAGAACAGGAAGAAGAAAUCAAACAGAGUGAGGGAGACAAGAAAAGCUUAGAUAAGCAGCUGUGGAGGAGAAGAUACCACCUAACCAACUUUACAUGUAAGCUUUAGUAUGGCACCCAUUACCAUAAUGUCUGAAUGCCUAACAAAACAGUAAUAAAUUCAUCCUCACAGACACUCCUGUUAGAUCAGUCAUAUUAUCCUCAUUUUACAGUGGGAAAAUGAAGGCACGGAGAAGUUAAAUGACUUGCACAAGGUCACACUGCGAGUAUGGCACAGCUGGCAACAGAUCUCUGAAGCCUGAGUCCAGUGUCUUAACAAUAAAACCAUUCUUCCAUAUGGAGGCUGCAUUACAUAUUUCCUAAAUCUAAAGCCUAAGAGUUCAGUUCUCUGAUAAUCUUUAGGAGCAACAAGAUUUUCUGAUUAGCUGUUAAAGUUAAUCUCAGGAGAAAGGGCUAUCACAAAGGGAGGGCCAGAUUCAUCACCGCUUACUUCUGGUGUGAUUACACCAGAUCUGAAUGUGGCUCUGAAAGUGCGUGUUUAUUGCCUAAUAAAACUGUUAGAACAAUUUGAAUGGGUAUUCUGUGGGUGGGAACCUGUGUUCUUGUUUAGGGUGUACGUAGAUAAGCAGUGAAGGAAUUUUAAUUUGGGGCAGCUUUACAGCACCACCUAUUGUCCAUCAAAGAAGAUGCUGCAGAAGUAAUUAUUUUUAAACAAGCUUAUGUAUUUCAAUACUCACAACCAAUACUGAAGAAACUCUUUAGCAGCUUAAAACUUGAUAUGCAGACAAGUCACUCUCUUAAGAGAUUCCAUAUAAUUUAAUAAAUAAUCAGACAGACAUUUAAUGAUGUCCCCAUUAUUGGUAUGAAUUAAAGCUGAGGCUGAAUCACUUUGCCAGGAAAAAAUGCAAAUCUCUUGCUUUCGUAGGUGUACUGUAAUUUCAUGUGCCUCAGGAAUGGAAAGGAAGAAGACAGAGGUGGCAAGGUAAUAGCAUGGCUGGGACUGGAAGGGAUAGUCAGAAAAGGGGAGAACUAAAGGUGACCUAGCUGGCCAGGACGGAAAUGUGCCUGUUAUCCAAAUGCAGGAGGUGGACAUGGGACUGCCCUGGUCAACUACAUAAGCAGCUUGGAGUAAUGGUGAAAUUACAGGCCUGGUACCAUCUGCCUUUCCUGAAAACCAGGGAGAAGGUAGCUGCACCUGCAGAGAUGAUUUCUUUUGAUCAGACUGAGGAGUGUCUCAAAGGCCAGGGCCUGUUUUGAACAAGGCACGAGGCUUCGCCUUACCUGCUGCAGCACUGACUCGCCUCGUAGUCUCUGCAGAUUUUCCAGAUGGGAAUGGAACAAGGGGCUGUGCAGCAGCGUCACCUCCAGCAGCCCCUCGAUGAUGUAACCAAUGGUGCAGUCAUCAGGAAGACGUACCCUCUCUGCAGUGCUGAUGAAGUUACCCAAGCUGUCAGGAGAGAGGAUGGAGUUGGAGAGUCAAAUGCACCCUUAAUCCUAUCGAAGCCAUGGGGUCUCUGCUACUGAGGUGCAUUUACCUGGCCCAGGGACUCAUCUUCAGGGCAAGACCCCUGCUGAUACAGAACCCUGCUCCACCUGUGGCAAACCAGAACUUCACGGUUGACUAGUGAACAGCAAAAGCAACAAGAAAAAAAAGAGACACUUGUUAAUGAUACUCAGCUUUUCCCAUCUGCCUGGGUAGGGAAAAGGAUCUUCUGCUCUGCAGCACAUUGGACACAUGAUCUGAGCAAAUAUCUGGACUUUGGGCUACCCCUGCCUCUUUGAACUCCUGGAAGCUAGACAUUCUCUCAUAAGGCAACUCUUAUCACCUUGCCGCUGCCACCCCAGGGCCAGUGGAGUCUGAGUGAAACAGAGAGCAUACAGGGAAUGGAAAACCAGAGUUCCAGUGGAGAACUGAGGAGAAGCCCAAUUCCCCUGUACAACCCUCUGUAUGGUCCUCUGCCCUCCAGAGUCAUAGUCAGCCUGGAAUAAGCUUCUCUGGGGAAAUCAGAGGAGCCCUGCUGGAGCCAAGUGAUUAAGGCUGAGGAGACUACUUAAUCAUGCAGGGUUUUUCAUAACAGGCCAGUUCACCUGGAUGCAUUGCCAGGGAAUUUAUCUGCUGGCCUGGCAACUUGGUACUUGCUCCUCAAGAUAAAGAUGCUCAUGUAUCUUGUGACUGAAACACACUGGGGCUCCAGGAAAAUGAUUGCUCAAUACUGGAAGUGACCAUUCCCAAACAAGUCACAGAGCGAUUGUAUAAUCUCCUGAGGUUAGCGCAGGAUGGCAGCAGAUGAAGUACUGAGAUGUUACUUUCUAGGCGAGACAGCCUAACAUUCAGAGGACUCUACAGUUUUGACUGGACUUUUCCUGCCUAUGCUGAUUGGUUGUCUGCUCCGGCUCUCUCCCUCCCCCCUUCUCCUCCCUUAAUCUCCUCAUAUUAGCUUCAUACCACAGUUGUCCCUCUUACCCUCUUCUCCCCUGACCUGUUCCCUUCCUUUUCCCUGCCCUUCAGUGUCCCCUCUCCCUUCACCUUUAUUUCCUUUUCACAGGUCCCCUCCUAACUACCUCCCCACAAAAAGCCAUUGAACUAACAUGAUGUUUGCUGCCACCACGUUGUUCACUCUACUUCUGUGUUCUACCCCUUCCUCACCCCCUGUCUGUCUCAUCUGUUUUGACUGUAAAUUCUUUGGGGGUGGGGGCUGGCUACUACUGCUGUGUUUGUACAGUGCCUAGCACAACGGGUCCUAUUCUUGGUUGGUAUUUAGGCAUUACUGUAAAAAUGUGAUUAAUAAUCAUGAGUAAAAGAGGAUUAAAAUGAAGGCUCCCAGAA